AGGCCACUGACGAGUCCCAAAUAGGACGAAACGCGCGUCCUGGAU
rnacentral:hammerhead_ribozyme from 1 species